CGACGCUGGCGGCGUGCCUAACACAUGCAAGUCAAGGAGAAUUCCCGACUUGUCGGGAUAGUAAACUGGCGAACGGGUGAGUAACACGUAGGUAAUCUACCCUCGGGAUCGGGAUAACCUCGCGAAAAGUGGGGGAUAAUACCGAAUAAAGUCUCGGUAUAAUUUGUCGAGAUGAAAGAUGGGGAUCUUCGGACCUAUUACCUGAGGAUGAGCCUGCGCCUGAUUAGCUAGUUGGUAGGGUAAAUGCCUACCAAGGCAACGAUCAGUAGCUGGUCUGAGAGGAUGAUCAGCCACAUUGGGACUGAGAUACGGCCCAGACUCCUACGGGAGGCAGCAGUGAGGAAUUUUGCGCAAUGGGCGAAAGCCUGACGCAGCAACGCCGCGUGACUGAUUAAGCUCUGAGGAGUGUAAAAGUCUGUCGUAGAGGAAGAAACUAUCCGAUAAGAAUAUUGUCGGAUACUGACGGUACUCUAUGAGAAAGCUCCGGCUAACUCCGUG
rnacentral:rRNA from 1 species